ACACCGGCGCACAGCUGAAGGCCGCACAGAAAGAAAACACACAAUAUUUUCCGCCUCCCCCUGACUGUUUUUCGCUUUUUUUCCUAUAUUACCGUCAUGCCGUUUGACACUGUAGGGGGGCUGCCCCCAAUGCCGACGCACGCGAGAGGCGCCACUCUGUACCAUCCCCGGCAGCCUCAGAUGCUAAUGGUCAAGCGCGCUGCUCCGCCGCGUGCAGCAGCAGCCGCCUCGGCAACACUGCGAUCCUCGUUCUAUCUGUUCGGGAAAUCCGGUGACUGUAGUGAAAGUGGUGAGGAGAGCGACGGUGUAAUACCACCAAUGUCGGGGCCGGGCUCAUCACCCAAGGCGCUCGUGCCUUAUGCGUCCAACAAUGCCCUGCCCCCAAACCCUUGGCGGCAACGAACAACCGUGGAUGACUUGGAGAGGGCGCAACGCCGAAACGCCCGCGGUGUCGCACAGUUCAGGCCUGUCCUGCAAGCCGGUGGAGAGACCUCAGACAGCCCAUUGAGUGAAUCGAAGCCGCUGCUGGAGCCGUACCUCUACGCGCAAGACCUGGCGCGAGCUGCAACCGUGGAUACAUGGCACUUGCGCCGCAGCCGAUACUUGCAACGACUUCGAAACGGUGCCACCACUUCGCGGGAGGUGGGUGUGGCUGACGGCGGCCCCCGGUGCCACUCUAGCCACCUAGACACUGGGAUGUCUGCCUUGCCGAGACUUGGCAGCGGUGAUGACUACCCCACUAACACGCGUCAUAGUCUGAACGCGGCUGAAAAGAACGCCCUCGACAGUCUCCGAACCCGCACAUCAUCCACAACACCGACAACGCUGCCGCUUCUCGCUCCACCCUCACCGGUGGAGUCAGCCGAGAUCACGAAGGAGUCCGCCGUCAGCCGAACUGACGCCAGUGCAUCCGGGUGGCGAAUGAGGAGCGGCGCCAACGGCGCCCCUCCGCUGCUCAGCGGAGCAAACCCAAAUGUGCUGGCGGUGCGCUGCCUCUUUCAGGCAGCCCGCAUGGAAGCUGCAGCUGCUGCGGCUGGCAACGCCGACUGGGCGGUGCCGUCGUUCCCAGAGCCUGCUGAUGAGGUUGUGUCCUCUCUCUCCGCGCAGAACACGAGCGAGAGUCACCGGUGGCAGCCGCGCGCGUCGCUGACUCACAAGCCGACAGGGGCACGCCUCAAGGGCCAUGCAGACGUCAUGCCCUCGGACUAUAGGGAUGCUGUCGGCCCGGAAGUCGACACCGACACGUUCCCAAAUGUUGCCGCUGCUUCCGGUGCUGCCAGCGCCGCGCCUCUGGGAUUGCUGGGCAACUGGUUCAUUGACGACGCCACAUGCGCGUUCUUUGGCUGCUGGGACACCGAUCGCAACGAGGAGGAGCUCGCGAAGACCUCCCAUUCUACGGUGGCGCCACCGUCAGAGCACGGCGUGGCCGACAUCCUGCGCGAUCGAAUGCACCAAAGGGUGGCCACCUUUACUUCCUCUUCAAAGUACACGCUGGAUGAGCCUCCCAUGGCAGCGAAGACACACGCGAUUCUGGGAAAAGCUCGGCUGGCCACCAACACAUCCACGCAGGCCCUUCUCAUCGAAGCAGCAAGGUCGGAGAGACGCUCACGAGCCGCAGCCGGCGCCGAGGCAUGGCCGGCACAGCCGGCGUCUGCAACAUCUCAGAAUCUUUUGCGAGAGAUGCGGCGGCUUCUCUAUGCGGAGGAGUACGAGCGCGGCCUGCUGAGCCAGCUUGCCCAGCAGUCCUCUCCGACGCGUUGGUACUCGACGCUGCUGCCGAACGGCAAAGACGGCAUUCGCUUCCGCCUCCUCAUUCCACCGACCAUGGCCGAUGACGUAGCGGUGCAUGACCGCCUCUACGGCGCCAUACGGCGCGCUUCGCAGGCGAUUGCGCAACCUCGUCGCGACGCGGCUGCAGCAGAGGCAGCCCGCCGCCGCGCACCUCUGCCCGUGCUCGACAAGAGGAGCAUCGACCAUUCCUUCUGUGCCGCUGACGACGCACAGGUCAUGGUGGAGAGGGCCGGUGCCGAGAAGACGCUUCUGUUUAAAAGAUGGACCAGCCUCCACGAAAACCUCUCCGCCCAGCUCCGCCUCUUCACCGAGGAGGUGGAGCAGCGUCGCAGGCUGCUAGGCGAGUUCCUUUCUUGCAAGCACCCUUUCCCAUGCAUGUGCCUCAGCUGCGAUCUGGAGGUACUCGCCAUGUCAGCCGUGCAGCUGGAGCCCACAGUGAAACCCGCCUGCUGGUACGCCUCGGUUGUGCUCAGUCGCCACAAGGACGUAUUGCAGAAGGAGCUGUUGGCACGUUACCGUGCGGAGCGUCAUCGCCUCUACGACCUCUUCAAGGUGGAGUUCAGCGCGCUACACACCUACAAGAAACUCGUGUCGGAUGAGGCGCGUCGGUUUAGGCAGAUGAUACGGUAUCAUGAGUUUUGCCUCCGUGCGGCAGCGUCGCGCAAAUGCGAGCCGCAGCAGCCGCUCAGCGAAGACUUGCCACCGGCCGAUGUUGUGACGCCAAGACCCUCCUCUGCUGGCUCCACCGCACUCACGCCGGAGCAGACGGCGCUGCUGGAAGUCUUUGACAAGUCUGCAGCUGCGCCUCCGAUGCAUGCACACUUGCUCCACCGCGGUGGCGCGCGCAUGUGGCGGUUGCGGCAGCGUCGACUGCGCUGCUGCGCCGCCUUCGACUCCCCUUUCUUCUCGUAUCUGCUGUACACAGAAGUCCUGACGACCGUCGCCGCAGAGGAGGAGGUGCGCACCAUGCGGAUGGCGUCAGAGACGGCCGAGCGCGCGGAGCUGAAGGCGUCUAUGAUGGCCGAGGAGCCGUUUGUCCGCCUCAGUGAGAGCGAGCGGCGAGCCCGCGUACGGAUAAGCGCGCAGCGGGAUGAAGCGUACAACGCCUUGUGCGCUGGGCCUUUCGUCGAGCUGCAGGCGGCCCACGCGGCAGAGCUGCAAACAGCACAGGUUGCGGCGUACGCCAAGUCGUGCGAGGAGGCCCGGCAGAGCUUCGUGGUCGCUGCGGUGGCGGAGAAGGUGGCAGCCGAGGUGGGGGAAAUGAACUGGUACCGCCAGUUUGUGUUCGAAAUGCGACAGCGCUCCUUGACCCUGUUGGUCGCCGGCCGCUCUGCCGCGCAGGCGACGGCGGCGUCGCGGGAGUGGUUAGGCCGUCAGCAGCACGUGUCACUGUUUAACAGCGAGCAACGAUUGCGCGACCGCGUUGCGCUGGUGGAGGAGCCGGAUGCGCGUGUGCGCAUAACGGCGGCUGCCGAAGCGUCUUUGAGGCACGCACGCAAGCGCGAAACUUGUCGAUUGAGCGAGGAGGCGGCGGACAUGCGAAGGGCUGUGCAGCGUCUUGCGGAGUCGGCUCAGUGCGCACACGAUGCGGAGGAGGCGGCCGUACGCGCACAGCUGCAGCGGGAGGAGCGUGCGGCGGAUCCGAGCAAGCGCCCCAGCGCCAAGAUGCGAGCCGACACCGUGAACUCCUUUUUCAGGAUGACAGCAGAGAUUGAGGAGGACUUCGAUGCGUUCUUGCCAAGUCUCGGCAGUGACUCGUGAGUGUCUGCGCUUCCACAAAACAGCGCGGUGCCUUUUCCACGCCCUUAUAUGUGUUUGAUGUAAAGCAAGCGCGCCCCAAGCGCGCUAUCGUUCUCUCUGUCUCCGUGUUCUUUUUCAUUUCAAUGCUUGGGGCGGUGCUGAUGCCCAUCUGUGGAGCACUCGUUCUCUGCUUCGACUGCCCCAUUGAAAAUGUUUGUUUGUUUGGCUGUUUCGUGUGCUUUUCGUAGCCGCCGUGGCCACCUCUCCUGCUGCGGUCGCUCCUUCUUCCUUUCUGUUAACCCACUGCUGUGUUCUUUCCCUGGUGGCCAUCGCCUGCGCUCUCAUGUAUACACACAUACAUAUAUAUAUAUAUAUAUAUAUAUAUGUAUGCUCUUUGUUGUUGUUCGAAUGACGUGGCCGCACCGCAUCAAACAUGUCAUGUAUCUCCCUUGUAUGUGUGCACGCUGGACCCUUUCCUUCUCCCUCUCUCCACAUACGCGCAUGCGCAGCGCACUUCGUGGAUGACGACAUCAACACGUGACAAGGACUUGGAAAAAAAAAGCAAAAAGAUAGCGACAUCACGGAACUGGACACCACCUCCUCGCCAACUGCAAUGCUGAUAGGCGUCGGCGAUGGUCGUUGCAUCGGGUGCCGAAACACGACAUGG
rnacentral:misc_RNA from 1 species